CCUACGGGAGGCAGCAGUGGGGAAUAUUGGACAAUGGGCGCAAGCCUGAUCCAGCCAUGCCGCGUGAGUGAUGAAGGCCUUAGGGUUGUAAAGCUCUUUUAUCCGGGAAGAUAAUGACUGUACCGGAAGAAUAAGCCCCGGCUAACUUCGUGCCAGCAGCCGCGGUAAUACGAAGGGGGCUAGCGUUGCUCGGAAUAACUGGGCGUAAAGGGCGCGUAGGCGGAUGAUUAAGUCGGAGGUGAAAGCCCAGGGCUCAACCCUGGAAUUGCCUUCGAUACUGAUCGUCUCGAGAGUGGUAGAGGUAAGUGGAACUCCGAGUGUAGAGGUGAAAUUCGUAGAUAUUCGGAAGAACACCAGUGGCGAAGGCGACUUACUGGACCAUUUCUGACGCUGAGGCGCGAAAGCGUGGGGAUCAAACAGGAUUAGAUACCCUGGUAGUCCACGCCGUAAACGAUGAAUGCCAGCGUGGUCGAGCUGUCUGCUCAGUGGCGCGAGCUACGUACUUAACGUACACUUCCGUCCGUCGGGUAGGUACGGUCGCGAAGAAUUAAACUUAACAAACGUAAGUAGUACGACGUCGAGAGACGCGACGACGACGACGACGGAGGAGAG
rnacentral:rRNA from 1 species